rnacentral:lncRNA from 1 species
AAAGAGUUGCUUGACACAAUUGAAAGUCAAAAGGAAAUGAGAAAAGAAAACAGAAUUUUGUGAAAAGUGUCAAAACAAAAGAAUCACCACAAAUGGAAAUAGGGGGAAAAAGAAAGGAAGUGAAUGAAUCAUGAGAUGAAUUUUGCAGAUUUUGUGCUCUCUUAUCCUUGAGGCUUUUUGAAUCCAUAGAAAAACAAUGAAUUUUUGUAGCCCAGCCCCAUUACAAGCUUGAUGAAGUCCUUAGUGAUCCACAACUGAUAGCAUGUUUUGUGAUUUUGCUUGGAUAAAUGUUUGAAUUGAAUUGUUGCAUGCACAUUGCUUGGAUUGAGUUAAACACUUACCCUUGAGAGAAAUAAUUGUGAGAAAUUUGAGAUAACACUUGAGUCUUGAUUGUUUGAUAAGAAUGUUGAGAAUUUU